rnacentral:rRNA from 1 species
ACAGACUAACAGGAUUCCCCUAGUAGCGGCGAGCGAAGCGGGAAGAGCUCAAAUUUAUAAUCUGGCACCUUCGGUGUCCGAGUUGUAAUCUCUAGAAGUGUUUUCCGCGUUGGACCGCACACAAGUCUGUUGGAAUACAGCGGCAUAGUGGUGAAACCCCCGUAUAUGGUGCGGACGCCCAGCGCUUUGUGAUACACUUUCAAUGAGUCGAGUUGUUUGGGAAUGCAGCUCAAAUUGGGUGGUAAAUUCCAUCUAAAGCUAAAUAUUGGCGAGAGACCGAUAGCGAACAAGUACCGUGAGGGAAAGAUGAAAAGCACUUUGGAAAGAGAGUUAACAGUACGUGAAAUUGUUGGAAGGGAAACGCUUGAAGUCAGACUUGCUUGCCGGAGCUUGCUUCGGUUUGCAGGCCAGCAUCAGUUUUCCGGGGUGGAUAAUGACGGUUUGAAGGUAGCAGUCUCGGCUGUGUUAUAGCUUUCCGUUGGAUACGCCCUGGGGGACUGAGGAACGCAGCGUGCUUUUUGCGAAAGACUCGUCUUUUUCACGCUUAGGAUGCUGGUGGAAUGGCUUUAAACGACCCGUCUUGAAACACGGACCAAGGAGUCUAACAUGCUCGCGAGUAUUUGGGUGUCAAACCCGGA